GCUGGCGUAGCUCAGUUGGUAGAGCAGCUGCCUUGUAAGCAGCAGGUCAACGGUUCGAGUCCGUUCGCCAGCU
rnacentral:tRNA from 2 species